AGUCGAACGCCCUAGCAAUAGGGAGUGGCAGACGGGUGAGUAACGCGUGGGAACGUGCCCUUCGGUUCGGGAUAACUCAGGGAAACUUGAGCUAAUACCGGAUACGUGCGAGAGCAGAAAGAUUUAUCGCCGAAGGAUCGGCCCGCGUCCGAUUAGCUAGUUGGUGAGGUAACGGCUCACCAAGGCGACGAUCGGUAGCUGGUCUGAGAGGAUGAUCAGCCACACUGGGACUGAGACACGGCCCAGACUCCUACGGGAGGCAGCAGUGGGGAAUAUUGGACAAUGGGCGCAAGCCUGAUCCAGCCAUGCCGCGUGAGUGAUGAAGGCCCUAGGGUUGUAAAGCUCUUUCGCCAGGGACGAUAAUGACGGUACCUGGAUAAGAAGCCCCGGCUAACUUCGUGCCAGCAGCCGCGGUAAUACGAAGGGGGCUAGCGUUGUUCGGAAUCACUGGGCGUAAAGCGCACGUAGGCGGAUCUUUAAGUCAGGGGUGAAAUCCCGAGGCUCAACCUCGGAACUGCCUUUGAUACUGGAGGUCUCGAGUCCGGGAGAGGUGAGUGGAACUGCGAGUGUAGAGGUGAAAUUCGUAGAUAUUCGCAAGAACACCAGUGGCGAAGGCGGCUCACUGG
rnacentral:rRNA from 1 species